GAAAUGAGUGUAGUGAAGUAAUGAAUCAUACCAUCCAAUUUCAUCUAACACCUAAAUACCUUCCUUUUCAGUGCUAUUAAUCUGCUGCUGAAGCAGGGAAAAGUGAAAGAGGUUCACAAAGCAUACCAGAAGGCAGUUGGAAGUCUCCAGUACACCGUGUCUUUAUGGAAAGAUUUCAUCCUGUUUGCCAUCAGUCAACAAGCAGCAGAGGUUGUAACCAAGUUGAUAGAGGAGUGCAACCGUUUAGAAGUGAACAUUGCUCCCUUUGUUGCCACUAUACUCAAACUUUCUUGAAGCCCAAGAACCAGUUGUAAUAUUAGAGCCCUGUCAAUGAUUAGAUUAUUGUCCUUUUACAUUAAAUAUAGCCCAUUAAAUUUUAUUUAUUUUUAAAUUCUUCUGAAAUGGUGUAAACAGGUCAGAGAUAUUUCAACUUUUAAGUGAAUAUUAAGAGUUGCAAAUUGCUUGUUAAAGAAAAUCUUUUUUUUUUUUUAACGUUUGGCAGCAUGGACUUAUUAUCCUGCAAAUCUGAAUUUUGACCUGAAAAUUUAAAACAUUUGAAGGCUGGGAAGAUCUAAUAAUAAUAAAAAAGUAACUUUUUAUCACAAACUUGCAGGCCAAACCACACAGUUGUUGGUCUUGUGCUCCCUGGCAAAGUGUGAAAAUGAACUAAUAUUGAAAGAAAAUAUUCAGUAUGACAGAACUGAAAACCUAUCACACUGCCCUUCGGUAAUGUUUAUGGUAUCCUUGGCAACAGCAUGAUAACACCAGCAGUGAAGAAUGCCCAUACAACCUGGAGAGAUUGGAAUGAUUACUGCGCAGUAAGUAUGGUGAACAAAACCAGAUGGAAGUUCUGUUCAAACCCUCUCUGGUGUAUAUACAUAUAUGUGUAUGCUGAGACAGAUUGGUGAUGGAAAAAUCAAUGAGCUGAAAGUGCUUGUGCGAUUUGAGCCUCCACCAAAUCAACCAGGAAAUCAAUUAUUCUGUAUACAAGAGCAGUGUAAAUAAGCUUGUAAUUAAAUCGAAUAUGAAACCUCAUUCCUUAUGGAUUAUUUCUCAGCAAAUCUGAACAACCAGGUACUUCAUUUGCGACACAUAUGUUACACAUUUCUGUAAACUGCAAAAUUCAUUGCGAUUUUGAAAGUAGUGGGGAAUUCAUGAUAGUCCCAGUUACUUGUGACUAUCAAAAACUGCUUACAGAUUGAAUCUUCCAUCUGAAUUUGUUCAUGUAUAUCUGCUUGGAGAUAUAUAACUAAAAAUGGUAUUAAUAAGCACAAGUGACAUUGUUUUGUUUUGCAUAACUAUGUAUAAUCUAGAUUUUUUGUUGAUAAUGGCAGUAUUGUGUCUUUGUUGUUGUUGUUGUGCUAACUUGAGUUGAGAUUCCAGCCAGCAAACAAGAUGUUGGUCUACUUAAUAAUGGUGGUGUACUCCAGAACAGUUUAUUGAGCUGGAAAGUUUGAUACAGUAACAAAUUGAUGCACUCUACAGCUGCUUGCGGAUCUUGUGCUCUACUGCACUGGAGUUUAAUGCUUCACUUCCUGUAUUUCUACAAGAAUUGUUCACUGAUGAUUUGAUAUACUGAGACCUCCAGUGCACUAUGGAACAUUGUGCCUGUAAGCAGACGUUGCUUGGCAUCGUUUUGAGUCACACCUGAGGAAAACUACAGACCUGUUAAAAUUUACUUAAGAAACAUCUCAUGAGUGCUUAUCAGAACGACGUAGUUAACAGUAGACAGAUAUAUUUAUCAUGUACUGGUAUUUCUCAUAUUUCCUGUUGUAGUUUAUGAAAACUUGAUUGAAGCUGCUUCAGGGCUUCUGAAUUUUUAUGAAAUUUUGGCUUCUUGUUUUGAGAGACAAAUAUGAAGCAAAAUUUUACAAAAAUACUAGACAUUAUUUGCAAAAAAUAGCUUUUACAUACAAAAAUAGACAAUGGCAAAGAAUUUUACUGAAAUAUUUUUGUGAAUGAACUUGAAAUGGUCAAAAUGUAAUUUUUUUAUUUUUGGUUGAGUAAUCUGUGAAAAUACCAUUUUUGGAAAUAUUGUACGCUUUAUUUAUUUAAACAAAUAAAUUAUGUUUACUACUAUGCUCUUUUGUUUUGCAUUAUUACUGAAUAAUUGCCAGCAUAAAUGGCAACAAUAUUGGAUUUACCAAAAAAAAAAAAAAA